rnacentral:rRNA from 1 species
UACAGAGGCCUCGAGCGUUAGGCGGAAUCACUGGGCUUAAAGCGUGUGUAGGCGGACUUCUAAGUACCUUGUGAAAUCCCACGGCUCAACCGUGGAACUGCUCGGUAUACUGGGUAUCUUGAGCCACUUAGGGGCGACCGGAACAGAUGGUGGAGCGGUGAAAUGCGUAGAUAUCAGGAGGAACACCGGUGGCGAAAGCGGCUCACUGGACCAUAACUGACGCUGAUGCACGAAAGCUAGGGGAGCAAACAGG